CAUGACUUGAGUUUUCUGAGUUCCACUCUCCUAAUCUCAAAACCUAUGAGGCAGCAAGAAGCUCAUUCAGUGAUUAUCAAACAUUACUCUCUGGUGCAUAGUUUAUGGCAAGAAAGAACCAAGGGACCUGCAUUCAAGAAGUGUGCCCAAAAAAGACUGAUACCAGCACACAGCUUAAGAGAUAUCCAGCGAAUGAGAGACAUUAGAUCCUACUGAUAACGGCUUUGAAGGAACAUUAAUAGCACCAACUCAGUAUCCAUACGGAAUGCAGUGGGGUACCUAAAGGUAUACAGGUCAUACACCAUGGCCUAAUGGAGG